UACAGAGGUCCCAAGCGUUGUUCGGAUUCACUGGGCGUAAAGGGUGCGUAGGUGGUGAGGUAAGUCGGAUGUGAAAUCUCCGAGCUCAACUCGGAAAUGGCAUUGGAAACUACCUUGCUCGAGGGUCGGAGGGGGGACUGGAAUGCUUGGUGUAGCAGUGAAAUGCGUAGAUAUCAAGCGGAACACCAGUGGCGAAGGCGGCUUUCUGGGCAUUUCCUGACGCUGAGACGCGAAAGCGUGGGGAGCGAACCGG
rnacentral:rRNA from 1 species